rnacentral:rRNA from 1 species
AUGGCGGGGUCGGAGGAGCAGCAGCAGAGGGAGCUGAUGCUGUUCGACACGAGGACAAAGAAGGCGGAGAUGUUCCGGCCGCUGGUGGAGGGCAAGGUGAGCAUGUACGUCUGCGGUGUGACGCCCUACGACUUCAGCCACGUCGGCCACGCCCGUGCUUACGUCGCCUUUGACGUCCUCUACAGGUACCUAAAGUACUUGGGGUACGAGGUUGAGUAUGUGCGCAACUUCACUGAUAUCGAUGACAAGAUUAUUAGACGAGCAAAUGAAGCUGGUGAAACGGCAACUAGUUUGAGUAGUCGGUUCAUCGAUGAGUUCCUGCGUGACAUGGUUGAACUUCAGUGCUUGCCUCCUACUCGCGAGCCACGUGUGACGGAGCACAUUAAGCAGAUAAUAGAUUUGAUAACCAAGCUAGAGGAAAAAGGGAAAGCCUAUACUAUUGAAGGAGACGGCGUAUACUUCUCAGUUGAUAAUUUCCCUGAAUAUCUUAGUCUGUCUGGAAGGAGCUUAGACCAUAAUCUUCCGGGUUCACGAGUCGCUGUCGAUACAAGAAAGCGCACUCCUGCUGACUUUGCAUUAUGGAAGUUUGCGAAGGAGGGUGAGCCAUUCUGGGAAAGCCCUUGGGGCCGUGGAAGACCAGGAUGGCAUAUUGAGUGCAGUGCAAUGAGCGGGCAUUAUUUAGGCCAUGCGUUUGAUAUUCAUGGCGGAGGAAAAGAUUUGAUCUUUCCACAUCAUGAGAACGAGCUCGCACAAAGCAGAGCAGCGAAUCCUGAGAGCGAGGUCAAAUGCUGGAUGCAUAAUGGCUUUGUCAACAACAAUGGCCAGAAGAUGGCAAAAGCAGACAAAAACUUCUUCACUAUCAGAGAUGUUAUCGCUCUGUACCAUCCAAUGGCUCUCAGGCUAUUCCUGAUGCGAACACACUACAGGUCCGAUGUUAACCACUCUGAUGUAGGCCUUGAGUUUGCAUCUGGCCGUGUGUACUACAUCUAUCAGACUCUACAAGACUCUCAAGAGGUUAUAUCCUUGUACCAUGAUGAUGAGUUGGACGUCCCAGUACCAGCAGGCGAUCGCAAGGUGGUUGACGACAACCACGAGAGUUUCCUGAGACACAUGUCGAACGAUCUUCAUACCACAGGCGCCCUUGACGAGCUUAUGAAGCCAGUGAGAGCAAUGAACAACAACUUGAGUGAUCUGAAGAAAUUGCAGCAGAAACUGGAGCAGCAGCAGAAGAAAGAGCCAGAGAAGAAGAAGCAGCAGCAGCAGAAAAAGAAACAGCCCGAGGAGAAACAAGAGGAACAUUAUGUACAAGCUCUGGUUGCCUUGCACGUCGAAGUCACGAAUAAACUGUCUAUUCUUGGCUUGAUGCCGUCAUCGCCCUUGGCUGAGGUGGUGAAGCAACUGAAGGAGAGGGCGCUGAAGCGAGCAGGGAUGAGUGAAGAGGAGCUGCAGCAGGUGAUUGAGCAGAGAAGCGCUGCGAGGAAGAGGAAGGAGUUUGCGGAGUCGGACCGGAUCAGGGCGGAGCUCUCUGCCCGCGGCAUCGCCUUGAUGGAUGAGCCUGCCGGGACGCUGUGGAAACCAUCUGAACCAGAACUAGCUGAAGAAGCGUAG